UGAAGUCAGCGUGUCAAAGGUCCUGUUAUCUAUCAGCCUGAAGUCAGCGUGUCAGAGGUCCUGUUAUCUAUCAGCCUGAAGUCAGCGUGUCAGAGGUCCUGUUAUCUAUCAGCCUGAAGUCAGCGUGUCAAAGGUCCUGUUAUCUAUCAGCCUGAAGUCAGCGUGUCAAAGGUCCUGUUAUCUAUCAGCCUGAAGUCAGCGUGUCAGAGGUCCUGUUAUCUAUCAGCCUGAAGUCAGCGUGUCAGAGGUCCUGUUAUCUAUCAGCCUGAAGUCAGC